AUUGAACGCUGGCGGCAGGCCUAACACAUGCAAGUCGAGCGGAUGAAGGGAGCUUGCUCCUGGAUUCAGCGGCGGACGGGUGAGUAAUGCCUAGGAAUCUGCCUGGUAGUGGGGGAUAACGUCCGGAAACGGGCGCUAAUACCGCAUACGUCCUGAGGGAGAAAGUGGGGGAUCUUCGGACCUCACGCUAUCAGAUGAGCCUAGGUCGGAUUAGCUAGUUGGUGGGGUAAAGGCCUACCAAGGCGACGAUCCGUAACUGGUCUGAGAGGAUGAUCAGUCACACUGGAACUGAGACACGGUCCAGAGUACUGAGGGAGGCAGCAGUGGGGAAUAUUGGACAAUGGGCGGAAGCCUGAUCCAGCCAUGCCGCGUGUGUGAAGAAGGUGUUCGGAUUGUAAAGCACGUUAAGUUGGGAGGAAGGGCAGUAAGUUAAUACCUUGCUGUUUUGACGUUACCAACAGAAUAAGCACCGGCUAACUUCGUG
rnacentral:rRNA from 1 species